rnacentral:lncRNA from 1 species
GGAGUUUGAAAGACACAGAGGGCUCCACUUCUGGAGGAAACUGCUGGCUUCCUGGAACUUGAACAAGAGCCAGUGCAGUAGAGAAAGUAGAGGCACAGCAGAGUUUCGAUUUGCUGCCUUGCUUCAGCCUCAGAGGAAGGGAGACGGUGUCUGCCCAUGGGCAUCUUCUGGGUCAGUACGGCAGGGCAGGCCACCAGGCAGCCACCCGGACACAGAGGAGUUUCCACCUCGACCUUCUCAGAUCCUCACCUUCGAUCCCAUUUCACAAAAACCCACUGAGAGACAGAGCCAGGUGCACCCGGUACCGCUGACACACAGACCCUCUGUGCGCUGCGCGUGUGUUCGGAGAGGAAGUGAAGGCCCACAAGGAAGGAGCUCCUCCCCCGCUGGUCAGCUCCCUGGAGGAGAAGACCGCUGUCUACGGCCAGGUCUCAGGUUCUCCCUCCUGGCCCUGCAUCAUUUUGGCAAAAGCAAUGCUCAAGUACCAGUUUUGGAGGAGAUCUGAAGAUGCUUUCAGCACACAUGGGAUCCACGUGUCUCUGUGAACAUGGAGAGGAGGCUUGGUAGAAGCAAGAGGAAAGUUACCCCCUAGGCUUUUUCUUAGUUUCUCUGCUGUUGCUGUCUCUUUGAUCGCCAUAGUAAUUUUGGUAAGUAGGCC